CAGCCACCGCGGGAAUACAGAGGGUGCGAGCGUUAAUCGGAUUUACUGGGCGUAAAGCGUGCGUAGGCGGCUUUUUAAGUCGGAUGUGAAAUCCCUGAGCUUAACUUAGGAAUUGCAUUCGAUACUGGGAAGCUAGAGUAUGGGAGAGGAUGGUAGAAUUCCAGGUGUAGCGGUGAAAUGCGUAGAGAUCUGGAGGAAUACCGAUGGCGAAGGCAGCCAUCUGGCCUAAUACUGACGCUGAGGUACGAAAGCAUGGGGAGCAAACAGGAUUAGAUACCCCAGUAGUCCCUGUCUCUUAUAC
rnacentral:rRNA from 1 species